rnacentral:rRNA from 1 species
AACGAACGCUGGCGGCAUGCCUAACACAUGCAAGUCGAACGAGACCUUCGGGUCUAGUGGCGCACGGGUGCGUAACGCGUGGGAACCUGCCUUUAGGUUCGGAAUACCUCAGAGAAAUUUGAGCUAAUACCGGAUGAUGUCUUCGGACCAAAGAUUUAUCGCCUUUAGAUGGGCCCGCGUUGGAUUAGCUAGUUGGUGGGGUAAAGGCCUACCAAGGCGACGAUCCAUAGCUGGUCUGAGAGGAUGAUCAGCCACACUGGGACUGAGACACGGCCCAGACUCCUACGGGAGGCAGCAGUGGGGAAUAUUGGACAAUGGGCGAAAGCCUGAUCCAGCAAUGCCGCGUGAGUGAUGAAGGCCUUAGGGUUGUAAAGCUCUUUUACCCGAGAUGAUAAUGACAGUAUCGGGAGAAUAAGCGCCGGCUAACUCCGUG